AUACCAUGAUGUGGACACAUAAUCAGCAAACCCUUGAAUCUCUCCCACGUUUCUUGUAAAGUCUCUAUUGGUUUCUGUCUAAAGCUCAAUAUCUCAUCAAUUUGUUG
rfam:Nicotiana attenuata strain TT chromosome 1, whole genome shotgun sequence.